rnacentral:rRNA from 1 species
GACCUGCAUGAAUGGCGUAACGAGAUGGGAGCUGUCUCAACCAGAGAUUCAGUGAAAUUGUAGUGGAGGUGAAAAUUCCUCCUACCCGCGGCAAGACGGAGAGACCCCGUGGACCUUUACUACAACUUAGCACUGCUAACGGGAAUAUCAUGCGCAGGAUAGGUGGGAGGCUUUGAAGUAAGGGCUUUGGCUCUUAUGGAG